UCUCCUCUUCUUGUCUCGCAUCGCCUCCCCGCAGCCAAAAACCCUAGCGCACGCACCUUGCCGGUCCGGCCCCGAGACGCAUUCCGGAAACCUCCGGAACGCCGCAAUGGUUUGGUUUCAGUGCGAGGACUGCGGCGAGAACCUGAAGAAGCCCAAGCUUGCCGGCCACUUCCGCUCAUGCUCCGCCUACAAGCUUUCCUGCAUCGACUGCGGCGCAGUCUUCGGCCAGGACACCGUCCAGACGCACACCCAGUGCAUCUCCGAGGCCGAGAAGUAUGGUCCCAAGGGACUGAACAAGCCAUCCAGCAAUGCACAGGGUAAGCCAGACAAGCCAAAGCCAAAUGCCGAUGUUGAUAUCAAUGUUGGGUUGUCGACACGCCCUCCUUGGUUCUGUAGCCUAUGCAAUACAACUACCACCAGCAAGCAAACUCUCUUGGGGCAUGCUGAUGGCAGGAAACAUAGGGCAAAAGCAAAAGCCUUUCAUGCUUCUCAGAAGCAAGAAAAUGGAGCUGAACAAACUCCAAGCGACAAGGAAACUGGUGGAGCACCAACAACAGCAUCUACAGAACUAAAUGACGGGAAGGGUGCUGACGGUGAAAGAGAUGCUGACAAAGAUGUUGUGAAGAGAAAGAGAACAGAUAGCACAACCUCCGAGGAGCCAGAUAAUGCAAAAAGACAAAUUUUAUCGAACUUGAAGACUGGAGAGGCGAUACAAUCUGAAAAUGGAGAAGCGGAACUCAAAACAAAGAGCAAAAGUGCUGCAGAAGAACUGGUCAUUGGUGCCAAUCAUCAAGAUAUUAAGAAGCAGAAAAUCAAGUGGAAGAAAAUUAUUACGAAGAUACUAGAGACGAAUUUGGAUGGAGCUAUGAAGUUAAAGAAGCUACAAAAGCUAGUUAUCAGGGAAGUUUUAGAAUGUGGUCUGUUGAAAGAUAAGGAGCAGCUGCAUGCUCUGUUGAUGGACAAGAUAGCUUCGAGCUCCAGGUUUUCUGUGGAUGGGAAGAACAUUAGAUUGGUGGCCAAGAAUGAAGAAUCAUAGUCCUCAGACAUUUUCUUGUGCUCUAUUUAAGAUGUUACUAAAAUGUCAGGGAAAAUGAUACAGGCAGUAUUAUUUUUGGGGCUGUCAAUUUUGGAUUUGUUACGUGCCUGUGUCAUUUGCAGAGAAAACUGUUCCAAGAUACAGGAACUUCGUGUUUGAUUUUUUUUUUUUUUGGAACAGUGGGACCAAACCGAUUUUGUUGCUCCAGAUGCUGUGAACUUUUUCAGUAUAUUUGGCGUUGCAACUCCUGUGCAAAUUGAAACUAUAUAUGCAAUCAAGAAAUGCGAGCUGCCUGUGUUUUGGUACCGUCAUAUCAGCAACACAGCUCUCAGUCUGUGUACCUUGUACUCCC
rnacentral:rRNA from 1 species